AUUGAACGCUGGCGGAAUGCUUUACACAUGCAAGUCGAACGGCAGCACGGACUUCGGUCUGGUGGCGAGUGGCGAACGGGUGAGUAAUGUAUCGGAACGUGCCCAGUCGUGGGGGAUAACGUAGUGAAAAUUACGCUAAUACGGCAUACGAUCUAUGGAUGAAAGAGGGGGACCGCAAGACCUCGCGCGAUUGGAGCGGCCGAUAUCAGAUUAGGUAGUUGGUGGGGUAAAGGCCCACCAAGCCAACGAUCUGUAGCUGGUCUGAGGGGACGACCAGCCACACUGGAACGUAGACACGGUCCAGACUCCUACUUGAGGCAGCAGUGUGGAAUUGUGGACAAUGGGCGAUAGCCUGAUCCAGCCAUUCCGCGUGCAGGAUGAAGCCACUCGGGUUGUAAAUUGCUUUUGUACAGAACGAAAAGGUUUCUACUAAUACUAGGAGCUCAUGACGGUACUGUAAGAAUAAGCACCGGCUAACUACGUGCCAGCCGCCGCCGUAA
rnacentral:rRNA from 1 species